GGGAGCAUAGCUCAGUUGGUUUAGAGCGUCUGCCUUACAAGCAGAGGGUCGGGGGUUCGACUCCCUCUGCUCCCA
rnacentral:tRNA from 4 species